rnacentral:lncRNA from 1 species
AACUUGCCACCCAAGCUCCACUAGUCUCAGGAUAUUCCAGAUAUUUCCAAGGAAUUUAGCGAUAGUUGACUUUGUCUGUUAGCAUUCCCUUUGUCACGGAACGAACAGACUUCAAGUUUUGGAUACUUGGAACAGAGUUUAUUGCACACGGAGACAGCCAGGAACAUACAGGACAGACAACAGGUUGCAGACACAGAGAUGCUGAUACAAACACAGAGAGGCUGCGGGAGAAUCCUCAACAACACAGUCUCAACCCUCGGAGGGGCGCAGGCGCGUAGCACUGCUGGGCACUGGUGGCACUCGCGAUCUAAUCGCCGAACUAAAUAAAGCAGAGGCAACCUCUUAAUGAACAAACUAUAACAGAACACGCCGUUGCGGCAAACAAAACAUGAGUCACACUCGGCAAGACACUUAACUAAACUAUAACUAAGGUUGUACUCAAAACAGGAACUAAGGAGAGGAACUAAACUGAAACUAACAAUGAUUGCAGAGAACGUAAUCCUUCGAAAAGCCAGGUCGCGGGAAAUCCAGUGGGAGUGCUUCCGUUUGAAGUGCGAUACCAGACACCGCGUGAAGGGAGAGUGAGGUAUAUGUAGGGGCUGUGACAGGUGUGGGUGAUUAGGAACCAGGUGAGUGUAAACGCGGUGCAGGUGAGUGAGGACAGGUGUAAGUGAUCAGUACUCCGGUGAGAGUGAGCAAGUGGAAACCAACGGGGCCGUGGCUGGUGCAGGUCCGGGCUCUGACGUGACACCCUUACAGCCAGUUGGUCUGUGGUUCAUGUUUCGUUAGCUUAGUAUGCUACUUGUGUGUUACCUGACUUGAAUGCCGUGAUUUGUGAAAACAUAUAUAAAGAUGUAGCGGCAAACAUACUGAAUUGGUUCUUUCUAUCAAAAGUGGUAGGGAACGUCUACUCCCAGCAAGGGACAUGCACAACCACCACCACCGCCUGUAUCUAGUAUUUCAGAAGAGUCCGACCGAGAUGGGGACAAAGAAUUCGCUAUGCAAGUUGUUCAACCGUUGGGCAAAGAAACCGAAGCGGUUGGUGUGCUAGAAUCUAGCAUGCACUCCUUGAGCAUUGCUGAAGAGGAGCAGCAUGACUCUCUGGAUGAGGAGGAGGCGAAUUAUAUGAGGAAUAGCAUGUAAGUCUUGCACAUGAAACCAUCUUAGUUCAUGUUCUUUUGUACUUCAAGUUUAUGGUGUUGUGUGUGUGUAUUUUGUAAAUAAUUUUUAUGGAUGAUUGCUGGGAGGAUCCUAAUCAGAAGGGCUUGGAAGAAGAUCGGGACAGCUCUGAUGAAGACUAUAGUCCUUUUCUUCAUCUACGGUAUGUUUCAGUUUCUAGUUGCAUUUCAGGUUGAACUACUGCUAUGUUGAAGGGUUGUUAUUAUAAUCACAAAUAUUUUGGUCUUUCAGGAGAAGACAACGUUUUAGGAGAACAUGAUGCAGUUGUUUCUUUUUGAUCUUCAAAUUGAUUCUAUGUACAUAUCUUGCUGCUUUGCAGUGCCCCAGCUAUGA